UUUAAAUUUCUUUAAAAUUUCUAUUGCAAU
rnacentral:piRNA from 1 species